rnacentral:sRNA from 1 species
AAAAAAAAUACAAAAAAAAAACGGAAAAAGCCAAAAAAAAA